CCGUCUCCGCCUUCUGGAGCCCCGCCCCUCACCAGGUUUUGGAAGCGGGCCCUUGGGUUUGGGUUUCCUGAGUACCUGGGAAAAGACUCUCAGUCACUCAAGUUAUUCAUGGCUCCUGUAUUCUGGGCAAGUGAAUGAGUUGGAAACUGGGAACACACAACGUAUGCUCUGAUCUAUAUGUUAUGAAGAAAAUUUUAAUAAGAAGAGGUCCCAGUAUCUUGCAUAGGAGCAUCACAGCUGAGCAUUCUACUGAAAAACUGAGAAACAAUGGCUAGGAAGUGGCAUGGGGGUAAACUGAAGAGUCGGGAUGUAGGUCAAAGAACUACCAGCAUCAGUGUCUUGGAUGAUGCUGAUUGGAGCCAUUUAAUCCUCGAAAUCUCCACAAAGCAUUGCCUAAAUGCUGAUGACCUACCCUGGAAGGAGGCUAUCACUACACUGGCCAAAUUUCCAGGCUGGGGAAGGAAAUAGAGAAGUAAGCAGAUGAUUUCAAUCAAAUCUGAUCCAAAUUGCCAGGGUUGCUACUCUUGGACUCUGGGACCAUUUUUAAGUAAAAUACAGGUCACUUGAACACAAGCACUGCAAUACUUGACAACCCAUCUGCAAACUGAGCGGGCUACUAAGUGACCAGUGGGUGGAUAUUGCAUGCAAUGCAGACGCUUGGGACAAAGGAAUGAGUCACAUCCCAGACAGGACAGAACAGGAAGGUACAAGAUUUCAUUACACUACUCAGAACAGCAUGCCACUGAAAAAUCACCAAUUAUUUUUCUCUGGAAUUUUCAAACUGUGGUUAACCUGAGGUAACUGAAGCCAUGAGGAGCAAAACCAUGGAAAGAAGGACCACUGUAUAGGAAAUGUGGAUGUACUGCAACUUUUCUAUUUUCAUCUCAAUGUUUCUAAUCAUGUUUGUAUAUGUUAUGUCCAUUUGAAUCAGAAAGCUUAAGAGA